AUGUCACUGUGCAACACUGACAUGUGGGUUUGUGUCCCCGUGGGGAAGGAGCCCGAGCCUGCCCUGGGGCUCAGUUGCACCUGUGAGAUCCCAUCCUCUGAGCCCGGCUUAAAAACCAAAGCUGGGCCUAAGGAGUACUGCAUUUGUACCCUCUGUUCUUUCGAGCCAAUGAGGAGAAACAGUGGACUUGACUUACUUGUUUCUAGUUUUGUUCUGUUUUGGGUUUUAGACUAUAUGUUUGUAUGUACUUUACCAAACAAAGUGUCUUGGUGUCAGCAUAAGGCUUAAGAACUUUGGUGCUUGUUUAGGGUUGCAGUGAAACCUCUCUGAUCCGUCCUUGAUUAGAGCAGUGUGGGUCAUGCCUAGCAUAGGAAAGUUGUCUUACUUAACACUGCAUGGGGUUAAGAAAAUUAAUUUUUCAGCCUGCAGGCAGGAGUAGAAUUGAGAGGGUUUUUUCUCAGAUGCCAUUGCCAAUUAAAAACUGGUACAGAACUGCAUAGGGUGACCAUGGCUGUCUCUUCCCAUAAACCAUGUGGCAAAGUAGUAAUGCUGAUUUGAAAAAAUGAAAGGGAAAUGUUAAGAGUGAAGGUGUGGCAGCAAAAAUCUUUUCUGGGACAACAAUUAAAUAUAUAUUUGGGGGUUUUAUUUUUUUAAGUUAAGAAUGAAAUGUAAAACAAUGUAAAAACAAAAAACAAAGUUCAUCCUAAUAUAAUGUGCGUCUUGUAUUGCUAAAAAAAAAAAGAGCCUAACAUACAGUGUAGAAUGAUUUCCCAUCAUGUACUGCAUGCAGCAGAAGCCUCUUGUUUCUUGAUAAAAUGAGCUGAGAGACAGUCAGCAGAUAUUUAAACACUGAAUCUCUAGAUGUUGACUUGCUGUUCCACAUGAAGCUGUGUGUUUUCUGCAGUUAAGCAUGCAUUUUGCUGUUCCCUUGUAAAAUACCAUCACACUUCUUGCCUGCAAAAUGGAUUCUUGUGUAUAUAUUUAAAAGAAAAGUGGAACCAAUAACAAGAUUCAAUUUGGAAAAGAGAGAAGGGGGUGUGCUGAAAACGGGACCAGUAGGGGGAAUAGAGAAUUCUCUAAAUUGUACAUAGUGUGUAAAUUAGCAUUACUCUAAGUCUGCAGUCACUUUGAGGUUGCCUAUCUCCUGCUAGGAACUUAAAUCAGCUUUGAGUUGUAUUAAACUGUUAGAAUUAGGUCUUGAAUGCAGACUGUUAAAGACUUCAAAAACAUUACGCUUACAAGAAGCUUCUGUUCUGGGGAGGCUUGAGACCCCUUUUGUAACUCUGGGGAAGAAAGGAGUGCUUUCAUUUUAAUAUGCAUUCUGUUUGUAAGUAGUAACAGACCCUAUUGAUGUAAAACUAUAACUGUGAUCAUGUGGAGAAAUCAAAUAAAUCAUUUAAAACUCCUCGUUUCUCA
rnacentral:lncRNA from 1 species